AAUGAACGCUGGCGGCGUGCCUAACACAUGCAAGUCGAACGGCCGCACAGUAAGAUUUUGCUUUUGCGGUUAGCGACUGGCGGGCGGGUCACACGUAUAUCACAAUCUUCUUUUUCGUGGAGAAUAACGUAGGUCAGCUUACACUAAUACCUCAUAUUCUGUACCGUUGAGUGCAUUGGAUCUUCUCGGCUUUUGCGUCUGUAUUAGCUGAUGUCGCGUUAGAUAGUUGGGAGGGUAAAGGCCCACCAAGGCGACGAUGCGUAGCCGAACUGAGAGGAUGAUCGGCCACACUGGAACUGAGACACGGUCCAGACUCCUAAGGGAGGCAGCAGUAGGGAAUCUUGGGCAAUGGGCGAAAGCCUGAAGGAGCCAUGCCGCGUGGGUGAAGAAGGCCUUCGGAUCGUAAAGCCCUGUUGUUGGGGAAGAAAAGAUGUAGAAGUAAACGCGGAUGUUGUGACGGUACCGAAUCAAAAAGCACCGGCUAACUACGUG
rnacentral:rRNA from 1 species